rnacentral:tRNA from 1 species
GCGCGGCCUGGAGUUGUCGAAAAACGGAUUCAAAAUCCGCCGCUGGAAACAGUGUGUCGGUUCGAGUCCGACCACCGGCACCA